CCCGGUCCCCGCUGCCGCCGCAGGGUGCGCGGGGCUCCGCCGAUGGAUGCGGGCACGAUGGAGAACGGCUCGGCCAGCGGCAACCAGAGCCUGGGCAGGAUGCCCCGGCAGCCCCUGGAGCUGCAGGUGGUCACCAUCCUGCUGGUGCUGCUCAUCUGCGGCGUGGGCAUCGCGGGCAACGCCAUGGUGGUGCUGGUGGUGCUGCGCACCAAGCACAUGGUGACCCCCACCAACUGCUACCUGGUGAGCCUGGCCGUGGCCGACCUCAUCGUGCUGCUGGCGGCCGGGCUGCCCAACAUCUCCGAAGUGGUGGCUUCUUGGGUGUACGGCUACGCCGGCUGCCUCUGCAUCACCUACCUGCAGUACCUGGGCAUCAACAUCUCGGCCUGGUCCAUCGCCGCCUUCACGGUGGAGCGGUACAUCGCCAUCUGCCACGCCAUCAAGGCGCAGCUCCUGUGCACCGUGUCCCGCGCCCGCCGCAUCAUCGCCUCGCUGUGGCUCUUCACCUCCCUCUAUUGCCUCAUGUGGUUCUUCCUGGUGGACACCACCCAGGUCACCUUCUCGGACGGGGCGCAGGUCAUCUGCGGCUACCGGGUCUCCAGAAACCUUUACAUGCCCAUUUACUUCUUGGAUUUUGCCGUCUUCUAUGUCAUCCCGCUGGGGCUGGCCACUGUCCUGUACGGCCUCAUUGCCCGCAUCCUGUUCGUGAGCCCCCUGCCCGGCACUCCGCAGCAGCAGCACUCCUUCCUGGGCUCCGUGCACCUGGGCAGCUCCCUCCGGCUCUCCGGCCGGGGCACCAGGGGCGCCCUGAGCUCCCGCAGGCAGGUAGGGGCUGGGUGUGCCGGGCUCGGGGCUUUGACGGGUGUUCUGGCUGGGAGAGAGGUGCCACAGUGCUUUGUUUGCCUUGCUGGAGGGAGUGGGGAGGGUUUGUUUGCUGCUAAGGAGCCCCUCAAGCCCUGCUGGGGUCUGGUAGCAUGGAUGGGCUCCCCCUGCUUUGGUUGGGCUUGGAAGAGCAGGACAGGGCUUCAGAUGGAGAGGCAGGAGUGCAAGCACUUCUGCUGGCUUAUUAAUUACUGGUUGCCUCUCCGAGGAGGAGAGGGCUGGGUCACCUCUCAGACAGUGUCCGUGCAUGUGAACUCAGAUUUAAAGGAGCAAAGAGAAGGGAGAACUGUCUUCCCUUGGAGUCCUGGCUGCAGCCAUCUAGGUGACCAAGAUGCUGGCAGUGGUGGUGGCCCUCUUUGCCGUGCUGUGGCUGCCGUACCGCACGCUGGUGGUGGUGAACUCCUUCGUGGACCCUCCGUACCUCAACACCUGGUUCCUCCUCUUCUGCCGCCUGUGCAUCUACCUGAACAGCGCCAUCAACCCCAUCAUCUACAACCUCAUGUCACAGAAGUUCAGGGCUGCCUUCAGGAAGUUGUACAAGUGCCAGGAGAAGAGUGCAGAGCACCCUGCCCCGUGCGCCACCCCGGUGUACUACAGUGCUGUGAAGGAUUGUUCUCACGACAGCUCUGAGCACAACCUCACCGAGCAGGAGGAUCUGAGCAGGCUCCCUGCACCUGCAAAGAAGAAUAAACAAAUCCUGUGAGCCUGAAACAAUGCAGGCAGUGGGAGCUGUGUGGCUGUGCAUACUGUGCUGGGAGAGUGCCAAGAGGAAUUGCUUUGGCAUUGUGGCAAGCUUCAUUCAAUAUUUCUUCAGGGCAUUUAACAAAACAUAUUGUUAUAAGCAAAUUAAUUUGCUUUUCCUUAGUGCUGAUUUAUCCUUGUUUGGUGAAGCAUUAGGCACGUGUCAAUAUUUAGCAUCCCUAAAGUAUCUAUUGUUAAAUAUAGCAGUGCCACCCCAUUUUGUGUUAGGGGCAAGUGCUGAGCUGGGCCAAAGCACAGAAAGGAAUCCCAGGAACAGAAGGGCAUUCAAGGAAAAAAUACACUUUGUUAGAGUGAGCCUCUCCUACCCAAACUGACACCCUAUGGAAGCUGCUCCUCUGGAGUCCUUCUGAAGUUAAUGGGAACAAUUAGGCACUUUCAUGUGUCUCCUCUCAUCUCAAUGCUCUCCUAUGAGGAAUACACAUCCCUACAGAGGAGAUCAGUGCCUCCAAGGUAUGAGGCCAUUGGCUGUAAAGGGACUCUCUGGAGGAGACUCCUGCAUUAGGAAUAACCAAAGUUGGGUGUCAUGAGCCUCCUGUCAUGUUUCUGGAAACGCUGCAGUGCUGAUAGCACAGAAACCAACGUCCAGACCAGAUGGAUUUGCUACAAUGAACAAACUAAUAAUAAACAAACUAAUAAUGAGUGUUCCCUGAUGUAUCAGAAAUACUUCCAAUGCUGUGGUCUGAGUUUCUUUAGGAUAACUUCACCUUUCCUAUCCAAAUUCCUCUGGUUGUUUCAGCUGGAAGCUAUACUCUUGUCCUGUAAGCCCCAGUGUGGCAUAGUCAUUACCAUAGAGAAGUGUUCUCUCUGCCCCAGCUACAGGUGCAUUGCAAUGGCAGGUGAAGAAAUUCUCCUAUUUCCUGGGAAGAACUUGUGAAGUCCAUUAAGUGUUUUGUGAUUAGUGACACAAAUAUUUAUUGCUGCUGUCAUCUUAUAAGCAAAGUAGAUAUUUAUACCCUGCAGCAUCCAGGAGACCAGCCCAAGGACACUUGCCCCAGACUUGCAAGAGUCUAUCUGGACUAUGAGUAAAAUCAAAAAGCUUGCAAAUGAGCCAAACCCUAGGGCUCUUGCCAAAUAAAACAAGUGUCUGCCACCAGUAAACCUCAAGUGACUGUGAAGUACUACUUUAACAGCCAAUGCAGCCUCACUAGUCAACACUGGCUUUCACCAAACUGUAGUGUUAAAAGAGCCUAGAAUUUUGCAUCCAUUCAGGAAAAUAUGUGCAUGGUAUUUUCAAGGGCACAAGAUGUUAAUUAACCAUUCUGCAUCUACAGGAAAUGGCUUCACUGGCUGCCAAGGACUGCGUGACCCUUCAUUAUUUUUUGAGAAGUAAUUGGCAGAUAAAUUCUCCUGGAACCACGAGAUCUCCAACAAGUGCAGCAGAGCAUUAAACUCUGUAGAUGAGGAAUGAAUUCCUGGUCAUUCCCCCUGCAUGUAUUCUGACACUUUAGGAGAAGCUGAGAGACUUUUGGGUGGAAGUGGAGGCAGAAGGUCACCACUCAUCUUGCUAAGGAGAUGCUGCUUGAGAGAUGCAUUCUGCUGGGAAAUAAAUCACUAGCAGAAAGGAAUUAAAAUAAAUAACUCAUCACAGCAACUUCCUUUGGAUAUUCAGGGUCUGAAUAAAAACCUUGAUUCCUCAUAAGAAAUCAGAGAGCUCCCUUGAAGCUUCAGCCUGCAUUACCUUGUACCUUGCAACAUCUCACACUGCUUGUAAAACCUCAAGCUGUAUUUUACCCUCAGCAUUUAUUUGUCUCAACAGCAUGAGUGUGGGCUGUGAGUUUAUAAACAUGCCAGCAAAUAAAGAAUCUAUUGCUCCUAAGUAAUUUAUUGCAUUGAAGUGCAACUCAACAUGA